GAAGUCCUCGUGUUGCAUCCC
rnacentral:sRNA from 1 species